rnacentral:rRNA from 1 species
GAUGAACGCUGGCGGCGUGCCUAAUACAUGCAAGUCGAGCGAACGGACGAGAAGCUUGCUUCUCUGAUGUUAGCGGCGGACGGGUGAGUAACACGUGGAUAACCUACCUAUAAGACUGGGAUAACUUCGGGAAACCGGAGCUAAUACCGGAUAAUAUUUUGAACCGCAUGGUUCAAAAGUGAAAGACGGUCUUGCUGUCACUUAUAGAUGGAUCCGCGCUGCAUUAGCUAGUUGGUAAGGUAACGGCUUACCAAGGCAACGAUGCAUAGCCGACCUGAGAGGGUGAUCGGCCACCCUGGAACUGAGACACGGUCCAGACUCCUACGGGAGGCACCAGUAGGGAAUCUUCCGCAAUGGGCGAAAGCCUGACGGAGCAACGCCGCGUGAGUGAUGAAGGUCUUCGGAUCGUAAAACUCUGUUAUUAGGGAAGAACAUAUGUGUAAGUAACUGUGCACAUCUUGACGGUACCUAAUCAGAAAGCCACGGCUAACUACGUG